rnacentral:rRNA from 1 species
GACGUAGGGCGCGAGCGUUGUCCGGAUUUAUUGGGCGUAAAGAGCUCGUAGGCGGCUUGUCGCGUCGAAUGUGAAAUCUCAGGGCUCAACUCUGACAUUGCAUUCGAUACGGGCAGGCUAGAGUUCGGUAGGGGAGACUGGAAUUCCUGGUGUAGCGGUGAAAUGCGCAGAUAUCAGGAGGAACACCGAUGGCGAAGGCGACAUCCUGGACCGGUAUUGACGCUGAGGCGCGAAAGCCAGGGAGCAAACGGG